UACGUAGGGGGCAAGCGUUGUCCGGAUUUACUGGGCGUAAAGAGCGUGUAGGCGGCCACGCAGGUCCGUUGUGAAAACUGGAGGCUCAACCUCCAGCUGUCGACGGAAACCGUAUGGCUAGAGUCCGGAAGAGGAGAGUGGAAUUCCUGGUGUAGCGGUGAAAUGCGCAGAUAUCAGGAAGAACACCAAUGGCGAAGGCAGCUCUCUGGGACGGUACUGACGCUGAGACGCGAAAGCGUGGGGAGCGAACAUG
rnacentral:rRNA from 1 species